UCGAGAUUGACGUGAAUGAUCCUCUAGACGACUUCGGACAGGAUGCACCCAUCGACCAGUCACUUUAUCAGGUCCCUGUCAUUAAAGGGAUUCUCCACCGGCUCUUCCUCGGAGCCGUGGGAUUCUUCGAUGGCGGCUCGACGGUCGCUGACCCUACGGACCACUAUCUUCUUUCUCCUCCCCCUCUCAACCCCUGGCACCUCCUCGGAGCAGGCUCCCGAAGCGGGAACCUCGGCAGGAGAACUCCUUGAGGAGGCUCGG
rnacentral:lncRNA from 1 species